GCACUGGCCUGGUACUGUCUACAGGAUCUGAGGUCUCAAAAAGACCUCCAAUAUGAACACCCUCCUUGUUUUAGCUGUGGGGAACUGAGGCUCAGCGUGUGCUGGAACUUCUCCACUGGUAUCGUGCCACCGCACUCCAGCCUGGGUGACAGAGCAAGACUCCAUCUCAAAAACAACAAAAACAAAAACUUCUCCACUGGACUCCCAGACUCCCACUAUUCAUGAGUACUUGUCAAAACUGAUGCCUCUGCAAAAGAAUAACAGUAGAAAGCUUCUAUUCUGUCAACUUGCUGACAUCCCAAAGCUGGUUUAUUAAGAAUGUCAUGCUUUGUAUAUAAUAUUGAUAAUAAAAACAAUAAAUAAUUUGUUUUGAGCACCCUCUGGCCUG
rnacentral:lncRNA from 10 species